CUAAGGGGGGGAAAAAAAACCAAAAGGGAUUCCCUCCGUAAGUGGGACUGAACCGGGAGUAGCCCCUCGGGUGGGCCUGUAGGGAAAGCCCCCUUGGGGGAUUUCCGUUAAGGGGAUCCCGGGUUUUGGGGAAUAACGGAACUUUAUGGGGGUUUUUUUUUUUAAAUUUUUUUUGGGGGGGGUUUAGACAAAUUUUUUUUUUUUUUGGAUUAUAAUGUUUGUCUAACCAAAGAAGGUGGUAGCCCUGUAAAGAAGCCAAUUGGAUUCGACUCCCUACGUACCCGUUCUCCUAAAGAGUAAGGUUGCUUGUAAUUACAACCCGAAGUAGGUGGUACAUUCCAUCUAAGGCUAAAUACCCUUACGAGACCGAUAGCGAAUCUGGCCC
rnacentral:rRNA from 1 species